ACCCCACUGAGGGGUCCAGCUCAGUCUUCAUCCUACCUAAGCUUUAGGCAUCUAGGACUUGGAUAUCCAAAGCUGAGUUGGAUUACUUGGGCUCUUUUACAGUAAAUAGAAGGUACAUGGGCCUCUCCAGAAGAUAAUUUAUCUGACCUACCUUGCAGUGACACAAAUCACCUUCUGGGCUAUUUAAAUUUGCUCAUAGACUACAAGAGGAGACUAGGAACACUAGGCCAUGUGCUAGCUUAUAGAUGCUUAAACAGACAGAACUUCAGCUUUCCUCGAUCAGAAUGCUGAAGAGACUUUCCUGGACACCAACCAGAAUACAGAACAUGAAUACCAAGGUUCCUAUAUACUGUGGUAUAUGAUGUUUCCUUAGACAAUUGUUUUCCCUUGCUGUUUCUUCAAGAAAAAGGUAUUGGCAGAAGAACAGUGUUUCCACAGAUAAAAGAUUACUAUUUUGGCUGUUUUUUCUUUGCAGGAGCAAAGUAAUCUCAAAAAAUUAAUAAUCAAUUAACCAGUUGACAGCAACUUUAAAGUCUUGUUUAUAUGAUUUUGCCUCUUUUAAUGUUGAAACUUGAGGAAAGAUCAAAGCAAUAAAUAUUGGUGAUCUCACGGGAAGCCUGUCUGAAGCAAUCCAAACCUUUGCUCCUUUUUCUGUGUUCUCAUUAAGUUACAUAAAUAUCCUUGCUAGCAAUGCAGUAAAUUCUGUUUGUAGUGUAUAAAAAGGAAGAGAAUUCAGCUUCUUACCUAAGACAUAAUUACCCUGUCUAGCAGGAAUAAAAAACAAAGCAAAAGUACUUUUGUUGCUUAUGUGUGCAGAUAAAAUCCUUACAGAACAAAGAAAUGGAUUUGCUAAGUGAAAUUCUGUCAGGUUCAUAUAAUUUUUUUCUCAGAGCAGAGAUACUCUUUAAAGUAAAAAUCUUCUACACAUUAGAACACACUGGUGUGAGCACUUUCAUUAAUACAUAUGAGAUUUUCUGAAAGGGUUUCCUCUACAGUCUUGUAGAUCUCAUAAAACCUUCAGUGAUCUUAAUGAAGACUUAUAUCACAUUGGACUUUUUAGUUAAUUCUAAGGUGAUGUGAUCACCUUAGAAUUGCUUUACAAGUACAUGCCAGUACUUGUCUUUUUUAAAGACAAGUCAUGCUGUUGAGCUGGGAAAUGCAAGAAAGGAAAUUCCUGUCUCUCUGGGAAAGAGCUGUGCCACUACCUACACCUGGAUACAAAGAAGAGAAAGGAAAAAUGUACUUUGCACUCAAAGCCAAAACCAGCUCUUGUGACAUUCAACAUCCACAAAAUGCUCAAUAGGGAUUUCUGGAGAAAUCUCUAAUUUGACCAAGAAGAAGAGCCCUAAGCAGGCUGAUCUGCCAAAUUGCAACGACCAAUGAACCACAUGCCAAAGCUUCAGCUGCCUCACUCUAAGCUCCCAACCUUCUUCUUACAUCCUAACCCUCACACACUCUGCAAGCUGGUGACAAGUUUAAUGCUUUUGGGGGGCUCCAAGAAUGAAGACUGCACCAACUGAGGAAUCCAUUUCCUUAUUUUUCUAUCCAAGUACCAGCCCUCUCUUCAGAGCUGUAACCAAGGAAGGAGGCAUUCUUUGCCAGGAAUGAUGAUACUAUUGUUUCUGAAAGAGAUGCAUAUGGACAAAUCAGAAUACAAUUAUUCAAGAGGCGUGGGAAUCACAAAGGCAAUUUCAGUUUCACUAUUCAAUUUUUUCUCUAUAUUUCUGGCAAUGCCUUAAAAUUUUCUACAAACAAUUAGGAAAACAACAAGGUCGUUUCUGUCUAUGGAAAAAGAAGAACUCAGAGUACCACAGUCAAAAAGAUUAAUGGCUUUUAAGAUGAAUCAAUGUUUUCUUAAUAUCAGAAAUAAAGGGGUUUCAUAAAUAGUUCUCACUGUUCUUUUGUCUUUACCCACAUCAUUCACCAUUUUGGUAGGCAGCAUGACAGAAGUCAUUCUUCCAGGUUAUUUAAUAGCUAGGG